UACGAAGGGGGCAAGCGUUGUUCGGAAUUACUGGGCGUAAAGCGCACGUAGGCGGACUUUUAAGUCAGGGGUGAAAUCCCGGGGCUCAACCCCGGAACUGCCUUUGAUACUGGAAGUCUUGAGUGUGGUAGAGGUGAGUGGAAUUGCGAGUGUAGAGGUGAAAUUCGUAGAUAUUCGCAGGAACACCAGUGGCGAAGGCGGCUCACUGGACCACAACUGACGCUGAGGCGCGAAAGCUAGGGGAGCAAACGGG
rnacentral:rRNA from 1 species